rnacentral:rRNA from 1 species
GCUCCUAGUACGAGAGGACCGGAGUGGACGCAUCACUGGUGUUCGGGUUGUCAUGCCAAUGGCACUGCCCGGUAGCUAAAUGCGGAAGAGAUAAGUGCUGAAAGCAUCUAAGCACGAAACUUGCCCCGAGAUGAGUUCUCCCUGAGACUAUAAGUCUCCUGAAGGAACGUUGAAGACGACGACGUUGAUAGGCCGGGUGUGUAAGCGCAGCGAUGCGUUGAGCUAACCGGUACUAAUGAACCGUGAGGCUUAACCUUACAACGCCGAAG